rnacentral:rRNA from 1 species
CCGUAAACGAUGAAUGCUAGGUGUUAGGGGUUUCGAUACCCUUGGUGCCGAAGUUAACACAUUAAGCAUUCCGCCUGGGGAGUACGGCCGCAAGGCUGAAACUCAAAGGAAUUGACGGGGACCCGCACAAGCAGUGGAGUAUGUGGUUUAAUUCGAAGCAACGCGAAGAACCUUACCAGGUCUUGACAUCCCCCUGACCGGUCUAGAGAUAGGCCUUUCCUUCGGGACAGGGGAGACAGGUGGUGCAUGGUUGUCGUCAGCUCGUGUCGUGAGAUGUUGGGUUAAGUCCCGCAACGAGCGCAACCCUUGACUUUAGUUGCCAGCAGGUAAGGCUGGGCACUCUAGAGUGACUGCCGGUGACAAACCGGAGGAAGGUGGGGAUGACGUCAAAUCAUCAUGCCCCUUAUGACCUGGG